rnacentral:lncRNA from 1 species
GGAGGCCCAUCUCUGCCUUCCCUUAGCAGCUUCCAGGACAAAAGGCUCACCUGCUGUGGGCUCUUUACCACAUUGCCUUUGCCUCUACUGCUGUUUGAUCCUUCCUAGUGGAAAAUAUCCUUAGUCGAGCAAACAUACAAAUCAGUUUCAUUUCACAUUCCUCCAGCCAUACCUGACCAUUGCUGAUUGACCCAGUGGGAACCAUCUUUGUUGGACUGAAUGUUUUGGCACCCUGUGGUCAGUUGCCUCACCUACACACAGGCUGUGCACCUGGGACAGUGGGUGGCCUUCCACCCACUGGAAGUCUCAGCCCUGGUAACACCCGAGUACCCACCAUGGAGUCUCUGAAAAACACUGGCACCUGAACACUCUCUCCCUUGGGUGUUGUUUGCGAGUUCCUUAGGUGAUGACAUUGAGUGAUCAGGGUUAAGAAGCACUGACUCUGGCAGAGGAAACCAGAAGAAACAGGGUCAGAGGGGAAGUGAAUGUUACCAGGAACAGAGGCAAAGAGAAGUGGCCCAUCUCCCAGCUGGCUGGCAGACCAGGGACAAGUGGAAAGGGUCAAAGGAGCAGACUUUAGCUUUCAACAGCUUUUACCCAGUGGACACAAGUGGAGAACAUUGCCAACAAGGUCUGAGCAUU